ACCACAGACGACCUGAAGAAAUAGAAGGAUAAACUGUUGAAGUUCUUUGCAGAAAGCAAUGAGCAGAAGUUACUGAAAAAUAGGAGAACAUUUUGUGAAGCUAAAAGUGAAGAUCUCAACUGCGUAUAGAGUGGAUCCGUCAGCAAUGCAGUGAACACAUGCUAUGUAAUGUAUGCUGAUUGUGAAACAAGCGAAGAUCUGUCAUAAAUGGAAAAUGGAAGGGAACUGCAUAUUUUCAAUAGGCUCUUUGAAGAAAUUUAAGAAAAGACACAACAUUACAUUUUUAAAGAUUUGUAGUGAUAAAGCUGCGCUGAUCUAUCACAAAACAGUGGAGAAAUUCAUUGACAAGAUUGCUAAGGUCACGACUGAUGAAAAUUUGAUGCCAGAACAUGUGUAUGAAAAAACAUUACUGUUUUGUAGUUACAGCCCCGGAAAGACACCGACUAGAGCUGAUGAGACAGCUCCUAAGGGAAUUACAAAUGCCAAGGACAGAAUAACUGUGGGGCGGUGCUAAUGCCGCAGGCACACAUAAAUGAAAAUUUGCUGUGAUAAGCAAAUGUAUCCUCACCAUUUUAAAGGAGUGAAUUUCUUACCAUUCCAUUAUCACACUAACAGAAAGCCAUGGAUCACUGUAUCAUUUUUUCUGAUUAGUUUUAUAAAUAUUUUGUACUGAGGGCUUGGGCUCACUUCAGGGAAGCUGGACUAGAUAAUGAUGGCAAGAUUUUUUCCUCAACAACUUUUCUUCUCAUCUUCCAGCUGAAAUUCUCAUCAAAAAUAAUGUUUUUUCCUCAAAUGUGACUUCAUUAAUUUCUGGCAUUCUUAGAUCAAUGAGGAAUCAAUAUUAAAAACAGUUUUUUGAACAGCAUGCUAGCAGCAGUGAACAGAGGCAUGGGUGUGGAAAGUUUUCAAAAGCAGUUUAGCAUGAACGAUGUUUAGCAUGAAGGAUAUACUGCUGCCAGCACUGGAAACACAGCGACUAAGACCCAGCUGUGCAUGCCUGGCACAACCUCUAACCUGUGACUGUGUUUAGUGAUGACGAUGAACAAGUGGUAACUUUGUGGGAUUCUGAACGUCAAGUGAGAAGAAAAUGAUGUCUGAUCUCCUUGUAAAUACAAACAUUGUUUGAAUGUUUAUCUUCAGAGUCUAUCAGUGAGCUGGAAGAAGUGGAUAUUGAAGUUUUUAACAUUGAUGAAAAGGCCCCAGUUGUUCAUUCAUGAACCAAUGGUGAAUUGAAAUAGCUAAAAUGUUUCUGAAUCAAGGUACUCUUAUAUAAGUGACGAUGAAGAUGAUAACACUGUAGAAAACGUGCCAAGAGAUGACACGGCAAAAAUAUCUGAUGGCUUAUUGAAGUGUAGAGCAGUGUGCACUCAGAACAAGAAAUCAUGUUAGUUUAUAAAAUCAAAGAUUUCUAAGACAAAAACUCUUGUUAAUGAGGCAGAUGAUGGAGAAAACAUUUUAAAGAACCCAUCCAGAAGAAUGCUUCCUUGUCCCUAGAGUACCCACUUCUAGUCCCUCAAUGACUUGUGUUGUUUAGUCUCACCCCCAAAAUAAAAUAUAGUGUAUAGCAGCCUUUUAAUCAAAACACAACAUUGUAGGGGGAGACUGAAAGCCUGCUGUUGUUUAGCAGCAGAGACAGAUAUUCUGGGGAUGCCACUGUACUGCUUAGUUACCCAGAACGUGUUAUCAUUUUUCAUUGUAUAAAUGGCGUGUCAUCUUUUUUACUGUUAAGUACUUAUCUGUGAAUAAGUGUAAGACAAUGAUUGCAUAUUGGUGGUCUCUAAAUUCAGUGUCGGGAAUGGUGGUGGUACCAAGCUAGCACAGAUCACAUAAAUGGGUGGCUAAGAUAGUGACACCUUUGCUUUCUGAUAGUUCAGUAUUCACAAACUUUGUUUCAAUCACAAAAUUAUUUAAAAUAUUGUAUAAAAUUACUUUCAUCGUAUAUGUAAAUUGUGUAUACAAAACCUAAAUGAAUCUCAUGUUCAGUCUUGGGUCCCAUUCUCAAGAUAUGUCAUUAUGUAUAUGUAAAUGUUCC